CAUGCCGGCUGCAGUUCCAAGAUUCCCCAGAGGAACUAUCUAUGAAGAAUCACAUACCUUUGCACUUUUUAAAUGCUUUCAUCCAAAGGGCUUCAGGUCGUUUGAAAAUCUUGGGUUUGGUUCGGGGAACACUGGCUGCACACUUUCUUUCUAAGCCAAGGACCGAGCUGGGCACUGGGUAAUUCCCGCGAAUCGUCACGCACUCAGGAAAAUCCUGCAAGGCUGCCUGUGCCUCACUCAGAUGGGCAACAGAUAGGUCUCAAGGAAUGGACUUUUGCACCGCGUGGGCUGGCUUCAGGAAGCCUCAGGGGCAGGUGAAGUUCUCCAGGUCAGCAGCAGAAGACGUCACCACUUCUAGGCCUGAAGGGGCAAAGGGAGGGGCGUGUUCAAGGAAAUAGAGCACUCUAUCACCAUGGGAGGGACCGCCGGACAGGAGCGGCACCCCAAGAAGGAGAAGUUCGAGCCAGGAGCGACGCCUUCCUCACAGCCCUCCACAGGGACCAGCAGUGCUGACACCUUGCCUCGGGGCUCCUGGCUUCCAAAACUGCGGGAAAAUCAAUUCCUGUCGUUUGAGCCCCUGGGUCUGAGGUGCUUUGUGCGGCAGCCUCAGGAAACUGACACGAAGGAACUUGCCAGGAGCAGCACUGUCAGCGAAGGAAGGCUCAGCCUCCUGCAUCACUGGACCAGGUGGGGCGGAAAGGAGAGCAAAUCCAAAGACCACCCCCUACACCAAGCCCUGGACCUUUGGUAUCAGGAAACGUGGAGCGAAGAGAGUCAGCCAACCUGCAGGUAACUGCCCAGCCCCUGGGGAAGCGUCCAGACACAUCAGGGAGCAGGCAGCCUCGAGGAAAGCCCCUCAGGGAGGCCAGGGUGCACCCCUCAGAGACCCUGCGGCCCUGCUUGCUCACCUCUGACUUCACCCACCCUCUGCUCUGUGCUCUGCUCCCUCCUGAGCCUCUUAGGGACCCCAGACCCACAAGGGCCUCAGCUGGGGUUCCAGUCCUUCCAGUCUCUGCUGCUGUCGCUGGCUCUCUGGGGCCUGAGUGCCAUUUUAUACAGGGGUAGGUCCGUCCUCCAGCCCCUGGGGUCACGGCUGGUGGGGUCCUUGCCUGCUGUCCAACUGCCUUGGAAAGGGAACCUGAGAGGUGGCUCAAGCCCAGCCACCUUCCAUAGUGGGGACAGGGACACAGAAAACUCACCAUCAUUGGCACAGCAAAGUCCUGCGGUGACCCUGCUAAAGUGAGCAUGAAGGCCGAGCUAGAUACCAGAUACGGCUGGGUACAGUGUCAGGGAGUGUGAACGGAGCCGGAUACGGUGUCUGGGAGUGUGAACGGAGCCGGAUACGGUGUCAGGGAGUGUGAACGGAGCCGGAUACGGUGUCAGGGAGUGUGAAGGGAGCCGGAUACGGUGUCAGGGAGUGUGAACGGAGCCGGAUACGGUGUCAGGGAGUGUGAACGGAGCCGGAUACGGUGUCAGGGAGUGUGAACGGAGCCGGAUACGGUGUCCGGGAGUGUGAACGGAGCCGGAUACGGUGUCCGGGAGUGUGAACGGAGCCGGAUACGGUGUCCGGGAGUGUGAACGGAGCCGGAUACGGUGUCAGGGAGUGUGAACAACACUGGACACACAGAUCAGCACGCAGGAUGGGUCAGCACAGCGGCUGUGUAAGGAGCUCCUUACCUCCAGCCUCGCUAUUCACACCGCCCUCUAGUACCCCCAGCCUCACCGUCCACACCUCCUUCUAGUAUGUGGCCUCGACUUCCUGUUAACAGGAGAAGCUCCGUCCAGCACCUAUG
rnacentral:lncRNA from 13 species